AGCCACCAGCAGCAGUGAAGGCACCAGGGCUCUUCAGGAGGCACCCACUCUGCCGCCUGCCACCCUUUAUGGAUGACUGGUGUGUCCUGAUCCCAGCCUGUGAUGGUUCACAAGCCCAUCUCUCUCUUCUUGAUUGUUUAGCCUUGGCCCUUGCAGGUCUGCUGUGCCUCUCCUGAGACUGGGCAUGCAGAGGUUCCUAGGGCUCUCCACCACUCACCCUGGUCUCCUUCCGACUGAGCCAAGGUGUGCAGGGUGGCCCUUGCCCACAUGACAAAGUGGGUGGAAGGGACACCCUAGCUUCCUUUCUCAGGGUACCUUCCAGCACACAAUGGGAGGCAGCCAUGUGCAAGCCAGGAAGAAAACCCUCACCAGAAACCAACCCGGUGAUGCUUUGAUCUUGGACUUUCAGCCUCCAGAACUGUGUGUCUGUUGUUAGGCAACCUUUAUUUAGUCAUGGUGACUUCCUAUUUCCCCAGCUCAGAAUCAGGCACAUCAUUGUAGUGGUGGGGCAACCUUGCUGAACUCAGUUUGUCUUCUAGGCACAUACCCUCCAAAACUCCCUUAGCAUUCUAAAGGCCAUCCUUUGGAACACUGGUCAUGCUCACAAACACUUCUGGAUUCUUCUUAUUUUUCCUCAAACUGCAUUCUCUUGUAGAUGGCAGAUGGCAAUCCUGGGAAUGGACCUACAGACUUGUGCAUCUCAGUUCAUGUGCAGGAUUAGUAGUGAUUUAUGACUUAUUUAUUACUUACAAGGGGCAUCACAGGCUGGGUCUUCUCUGUAGCCCCUACAGAGGCCUCACUCAGCAGAUCUCCACACGUUACGCGCAAAGUCCUAACCGUAGUGGCUUUUGGCUGUUCUUCAAAGCACUCACAUAUAGCAGCACAUGGUUGUGCAUCUAGAAAUUUUCAAAUCAUCCCUUCCUAGAUAGGAACAGGAAGGCACCAGCGACACAGGGGUCUAGCCAGUGGCAUGCUGUGUUCUUACUGAACCUGUUUAAAAAG
rnacentral:lncRNA from 1 species